CUGAUGAAAUAACGGGUAACACGAUGGAAGACAAGCUUUCCCUUCUGCUCGGCUUCUCAUCGUGUUACCCAACAUCCCAUCGC
rnacentral:pre_miRNA from 1 species